rnacentral:rRNA from 1 species
GACGUAGGGCGCGAGCGUUGUCCGGAUUUAUUGGGCGUAAAGAGCUCGUAGGCGGCUCGUUGCGUCGGCUGUGAAAACCCGCAGCUCAACUGUGGGCUUGCAGCUGAUACGGGCGGGCUGGGAUUCGGUAGGGGAGACUGGAAUUCCUGGUGUAGCGGUGAAAUGCGCAGAUAUCAGGAGGAACACCGGUGGCGAAGGCGGGUCUCUGGGCCGAUAUCGACGUGGAGGAGCGAAAGCGUGGGGAGCGAACAGG